rnacentral:piRNA from 1 species
UUACAGAUUGAACUCCUGUUCUACACUUCC